rnacentral:rRNA from 1 species
GAUGAACGCUGGCGGCGUGCCUAAUACAUGCAAGUCGAACGCUUCACUUCGGUGAAGAGUGGCGAACGGGUGAGUAAUACAUAAGUAACCUGGCAUCUACAGGGGGAUAACUGAUGGAAACGUCAGCUAAGACCGCAUAGGUGUAGAGAUCGCAUGAACUCUAUAUGAAAAGUGCUACGGGACUGGUAGAUGAUGGACUUAUGGCGCAUUAGCUUGUUGGUAGGGUAACGGCCUACCAAGGCGACGAUGCGUAGCCGACCUGAGAGGGUGACCGGCCACACUGGGAUUGAGACACGGCCCAGACUCCUACGGGAGGCAGCAGUAGGGAAUUUUCGGCAAUGGGGGAAACCCUGACCGAGCAACGCCGCGUGAAGGAAGAAGUAAUUCGUUAUGUAAACUUCUGUCAUAGAGGAAGAACGGUGGAUAUAGGGAAUGAUAUCCAAGUGACGGUACUCUAUAAGAAAGCCACGGCUAACUACGUG